rnacentral:rRNA from 1 species
AUUGAACGCUAGCGGCAGGCCUAACACAUGCAAGUCGAACGAGUGGCGGACGGGUGAGUAAUGUCUGGGAAACUGCCCGAUGGAGGGGUAUAACUACUGUAAAAUGUCGCUAAUACCACAUCACCUCGGAUGUUCCCAGAUGGGAUUCGCUAGUAGGUGGGGUAAAGGAUCACCUCGGCGACGAUCCCUAGCUGGUCUGAGAGGAUGACCAGCCACACUGGAACUGAGACACGGUCCAGACUCCUACGGUAGGCAGCAGUGGGGAAUAUUGCACAAUGGGCGCAAGCCUGAUGCAGCCAUGCCGCGUGUAUGAAGAAGGCCUGCGGGUUGUAAAGUACUUUCAGCGGGGAGGCGUUACCCGCAGAAGAAGCACCGGCUAACUCCGUGCCAGCAGCCGCGGUAAUAC